UACGUAGGGUGCAAGCGUUAAUCGGAAUUACUGGGCGUAAAGCGUGCGCAGGCGGUUUUGUAAGUCUGUCGUGAAAGCCCCGGGCUCAACCUGGGAAUUGCGAUGGAGACUGCAAGGCUAGAAUCUGGCAGAGGGGGGUAGAAUUCCACGUGUAGCAGUGAAAUGCGUAGAGAUGUGGAGGAACACCGAUGGCGAAGGCAGCCCCCUGGGUCAAGAUUGACGCUCAUGCACGAAAGGCGUGGGGAGCAAACGAG
rnacentral:rRNA from 1 species